rnacentral:rRNA from 1 species
GGGCCCGCACAAGCGGUGGAGCAUGUGGUUCAAUUCGACGCAACGCGAAGAACCUUACCCAGGCUUGAACUGCGAGUGACAUCCGGCGAAAGUCGGCUUCCGCAAGGACGCUCGUAGAGGUGCUGCAUGGCUGUCGUCAGCUCGUGUCGUGAGAUGUUGGGUUAAGUCCCGCAACGAGCGCAACCCUCGUUCUCUGUUGCCAUCAGGUUAUGCUGGGCACUCUGAGGAGACUGCCGGUGACAAACCGGAGGAAGGUGGGGAUGACGUCAAGUCAGCAUGGCCUUUAUGUCUGGGGCUACACACGUGCUACAAUGGCCGGUACAAACCGCUGCGAUCCCGCGAGGGGGAGCUAAUCGGAGAAAGCCGGUCUCAGUUCGGAUUGCAGGCUGCAACCCGCCUGCAUGAAGUUGGAAUCGCUAGUAAUCGCAGAUCAGCAGGCUGCGGUGAAUACGUUCCCGGGCCUU